CACAGUAAAGGCUUUUCAUAGAACGUACAUCCAAAUCAUUGCUCAAACUUAAAAAUGUAUAUACAAGCAAGCGUCUAAGUUUGGCCCUUAUUCCAGCAGUUUCUACGUUCACUAGGUUUCCAGUCACAUUACUACACAAUAACAAUAGCCUUCACAUUACUACGUUCACUAGGUUUCCAGUCACAUUACUACAAUAACAAUAGCCUUCAACCUAGGGAGGCUAUAAGAUACACAGCUAGAUAAUAGGAAUAGUGACUACAUGCCCUGAUAUAUACAAAAGAAUAUAACUAC
rnacentral:lncRNA from 1 species